CAGAUGGCCGAGAUGACGGUGAUGGAACUUCCAAAGAUUCCUCAGCAUUUUCGCAUCAACUCAUCUAAACAAUCUAUUGAAAAGCUAAGAAGAGACGAGGCUGAAGACAUUCUAAAACAAUCAGGUUUAAAAAAAAAUAGUUUCAAAGGAUGAGCUCUGUUCCUUCUGUGGAAUUGAGGACCUGCCCAAAACUGAUGUUGAUGCUGUUUGGAUUCAGUGUGGAACUUGCUCAAGAUGGUUUCACACGCAGUGCCUUGGGAUGACAGAAGCACAAAUACCAAACAACAUUGGUAUUGUGUGUUGUGUAACUGAACACUUAGGAAUAUGUAUGUCUGACUUUGUCGGAUAAACUUGUUGACUUCAAGUUUAUCCAGUUAAAUGUUG